GGGGUCCAUGCACUCGUUUUCAAAUUAAAUCAGUUUGAAUGAUAAAAAUCAGUCGAAAAAUGCAUCUUUUCCCGAUAUGUCAUAGUUUGACAUCGCGAAAAUAACAUUUUACGUUAGCAACGUCAUUACCUUCCCUGUAACUGUAUCGUAUGCCCUUAAUACAAAAAUUACAAUAAUGAGCAGUGUAUGUAUAUCGUUGGUCUCAUUGGGGUCUAAGGGUGACACGGGAUUGAUGAUUUUUUGUAAGCAUGACACGUGAAAGUCAAAUUAAAACGGGAAAUCAGGUCUAGCGGGACCCGGGAAAUGACAAAAAAAUGAGAAUUGCUUACGUACAUAGUGUAAGCGGGAUAAGGGAAUCUAAAAAAACAGUAAGCGGGAUCCAGGAUCGGAACCCCCAAUGAGACCCCCUAUAUCACUUUGUGAAAGAAGAUCCGGGGUAUUUACUGCUAUAAGGCCUAAAGAGUUAUGCAUUAUCGAAAAUGUUGUACAAAAAGGGUAAAUUGUUUUUAAUUUUGCUGUCUCAUUAUUCCAUAGUAUUUUAGGUAUAUAAUGUUUAUGCUUUAACACUUAAUAUUCUUUGGAAAACUUAAAAGC
rnacentral:lncRNA from 1 species